GGCCCUGAAGAGCCCUCCCACUUUCUGAGAGGGGCCCCCCACCGUCACUCCAUGCCUGAACUGGGGCUUCGCAGUGCUCCUGAGCCACCUACAGAAUCCCCUGGCCAUCCUGCCCUGCACCCAGAUGAUAACACCACCUUUGGUCGCCAGAGUACGCCUCGUGUCAGCUUCCGAGACCCUCUGGUAUCUGAAGGAGGUCCACGAAGGACCCUUAGUGCACCUCCAGCCCAGCGCCGUAGACCGCGAAGUCCCCCACCCAGAGCCCCCAGCUGCUACCACCAUCACCACCGCCGUCGGAGACGGCGCCGUCGCCGAGGGAGCCACCAGCACCACCACCAUCCUGGCAGACAUGGCCACCAUCGCUGUGACUUGGGAUCGGGUUCAGAUUCUGGAUCUUGUUCCAGUUCACCCUCCAGCCCCAGUUCAGAGUCUUCUGAGGAUGAUGGCUUCUUCCUAGGGGAGCGCAUCCCACUGCCCCCUCACCUGUGCAGACCCAAGACCACUCAGGGCACUGCAACUGAAACCUUUAACUCGGCAGCCCAGCCACUUGUCCAAGAGUCUCACCCAGUGAUGCCUCGCCAGACCCGGGACAAGAACUGCAUCGUGGCUUGAAGGAAGGCAGCUUUAGAAGGAACUCUACCUUUCUAAAGUCAGUGUAAAUGAUGAGUGUCCUGAACUAAGUCAUAGUCCCCUUCUGCACUCCCAUCUUGUUUGUAUUAGCAAAGCAAUGUAAGAGUUGUUAAAGAAACGCCUGGCUUCUUUGUCCCGAUGGCUUUACCUCAAUUUCCCUUCUCCUGAUACUAACACACAUUUGAUCAAAAAAAUUAACUUCUUCAUUAU
rnacentral:lncRNA from 1 species